AUUGAACGCUGGCGGCAGGCCUAACACAUGCAAGUCGAGCGGAUGAAGAGAGCUUGCUCUCUGAUUUAGCGGCGGACGGGUGAGUAAUGCCUAGGAAUCUGCCUGGUAGUGGGGGAUAACGUCCGGAAACGGGCGCUAAUACCGCAUACGUCCUACGGGAGAAAGCAGGGGACCUUCGGGCCUUGCGCUAUCAGAUGAGCCUAGGUCGGAUUAGCUAGUUGGUGAGGUAAUGGCUCACCAAGGCUACGAUCCGUAACUGGUCUGAGAGGAUGAUCAGUCACACUGGAACUGGGACACGGUCCAGACUCCUACGGGAGGCAGCAGUGGGGAAUAUUGGACAAUGGGCGAAAGCCUGAUCCAGCCAUGCCGCGUGUGUGAAGAAGGUCUUCGGAUUGUAAAGCACUUUAAGUUGGGAGGAAGGGCAGUAAGUUAAUACCUUGCUGUUUUGACGUUACCGACAGAAUAAGCACCGGCUAACUUCGGGCCAGCCGCCGCGGUAAUAC
rnacentral:rRNA from 1 species